AGAAUCUUUCGCAAUGCCCGAAAGGGUGACGAAGCGACGCCGCGUGUGGGAAGAAGGCCUUCGGGUUGUAAACCACUGUCGGGAGUUAAGAAAUGUAAGGAUGUUAAUAGCGUCCUUACUUGACUAAGGCUCCGGAGGAAGCCACGGCUAACUCUGUGCCAGCAGCCGCGGUAAUACAGAGGCGGCAAGCGUUGUUCGGAAUUAUUGGGCGUAAAGAGCACGUAGGCGGCCUUGAAAGUCAGUUGUGAAAGCCUUCUGCUUAACGGAAGAACAGCAUCUGAUACUACAGGGCUUGAGUGCGGGAGGGGAGAGUGGAACUUCUGGUGGAGCGGUGAAAUGCGUAGAUAUCAGAAGGAACGCCGGCAGCGAAAGCGGCUCUCUGGCUCGUAACUGACGCUGAGUGUGCGAAAGCUAGGGGAUCAAACGGGAUUAGAUACCCCGGUAGUCCUAGCCGUAAACGAUGGGCACUAAGUAGAGGGGUUUUGAUUAUCUCUCUGCCGGAGCUAACGCAUUAAGUGCCCCGCCUGGGAAGUACGGCCGCAAGGCUAAAACUCAAAAGAAUUGACGGGGGCUUGCACAAGCGGUGGAGCAUGUGGCUUAAUUCGAUGCAACGCGAAGAACCUUACCGGGGUCUGACAUGGUAGAAGUAGGAACCAGAAACGGUAACGAACGGUAUCCAGUCCGUAACUAUCACAGGUGUUGCAUGGCUG
rnacentral:rRNA from 1 species